AUAAAGCUAGUUAACUCGUUUAGCUUUUGACAAAACGUAACCAUCAGGGCCACAAAGCUGUGUAAUUAUACUCGAUCCCAAUCAUGCAUAUCAGGAGCUAGCUGCAACUUUCUUUUUAAUAAUUGGCAUGUAUGUAGUACUUGACAGUCAAGGCACACACACACAUAUGACAUUCACAUGAGAAUAUCAAUGCUGCCUGAACAAGAAGAUGCCUCCUCAGAUCAGAAGCUAUAUAAGUAAUGUCCACAGCACACAAUAUUCCAUCCUCCAUUCUCUUGAGCUUCAAACACAAAGCAAACAUCAUUAUGAAGUCUCCUCCCACUGCCAAAGCACUUGCUGUAGCCACCCUCUCAGCUCUGCUGAUCCUUCUCUUCUUCGUCCUGCUCUGUGGCUCUUCUUCGUCAUCGCCAUUGCCACGGUCGCAAUCGCAACCAUCUAUUGUGAGGAGCAGAAGGCUUCUGUCGACGCAAUGCCGUGAUGCCAACUCUUGCUCGACGCCUGUAGGCGGGUUCAGUCAGUUCUUCAAGGCACCAGCAGCGACGGUAUUGGAGAGCUUGAAGAAGAUGCCCAAGAGCAGUGGUGGAUCACUUCAGCUGGUCCAUUUAGUUCAGGAUAGGCACCAGUAUGUACAUUUUGAGGGCAAAGCUAGCUAGCUUAACUGCAGCUCGGCAUAUGUAUGUAUGUACGUUUUGAAGCAAAAUCGAUGUCCAGAUCUAUGUAGUACAUGCUUAUUCACAUUAGAUGAGAGGAUAUUAACGAUAAUAUCGUACAGUUUUAGUGGAUU